rnacentral:rRNA from 1 species
UGCCAGCCGCCGCGGUAAUAAGAACCGUCCAAACGUUAUUCGGAAUCACUGGGCUUAAAGCGUGCGUAGGCGGCUUAGCAAGUUGGGUGUGAAAUCCCUCGGCUCAACCGAGGAACUGCGCUCAAAACUACUAGGCUUGAGGGAGGCAGAGGUAAGCGGAACUAAUGGUGGAGCGGUGAAAUGCGUUGAUAUCAUUAGGAACACCUGAGGCGAAAGCAGCUUACUGGGCCUCUUCUGACGCUGAGGCGCGAAAGCUAGGGGAGCGAACGGGAUUAGAUA